rnacentral:rRNA from 1 species
CUUUUGCUGGCGACCGGCGCACGGGUGAGUAACACGUAUCCAACCUGCCGAUGACUCGGGGAUAGCCUUUCGAAAGAAAGAUUAAUACCCGAUGGCAUAGUUCUUCCGAAUGGUAGAACUAUUAAAGAAUUUCGGUCAUCGAUGGGGAUGCGUUCCAUUAGGUUGUUGGCGGGGUAACGGCCCACCAAGCCUUCGAUGGAUAGGGGUUCUGAGAGGAAGGUCCCCCACAUUGGAACUGAGACACGGUCCAA